UAUAUAUAUCUCAGACAAGGGCUUUUUCAAUGAUGGCCAGAAUUUGUUGUAUCUACCAAUGUAAUUUGUCACAUAAUGAACAGAAACUGAUGAGUAUUAAUAGGCAGAUGAAACAUAUUUAAUAAUAUUCAAUGUCUAUUAGUGACUANAAGUCUGGUCAUUCAGUUUAAAUGAAUGGUUAUACUGUUUUUAAUGAAAUAAGCCAUUUUCUUGUUGUUUUCAGUAUGACAUAGUAGUGUUUCUUCUAGUUUCCCCAGCCUUUAUCAACUUAUUGUACGGUAAAUUAUAAAUGGUUUUUUCAUAACUUGUGUUUUAUAAUAUGUAAUUAUUCAUGAAAAGAAAGGGCUCAGACAAAUUAGGAUGUGAUUUUGGUUGGUUUUAAAUUGCUUUUCUGUGGUGAUAAAGAAUUACUAUUAAGUAAGUUUUAGAUUCUGAAAUUUAGGAUGUUUUUAUUUGACUUAAAUGAAGAAAUGGGUUUUUCCUUCUCUACCACCCCCACCAUUCACAUUUUCCACAUUAACACUAUUAAGAAUAAUCAAUCUCCACAGCCCCUUAUUUUAUUAUUUCCAAUAAUUCCAAGUUCAUGUAGAACUGAUAAUGAAGCAAGCCCAAUGUAUAAUAACAGGCAGACAGCUCCCAACCUUCUGUCUAAUUUCCAACCAUUAAAGUGAACUGCUAAAAAAAGAAAAAUAAUGGAAAUGUUAAGAGAAAUGGUUAUAUAAAUGAGUCCUUUGCUGUUUACUUCUACAGGAGCUGAUUCAUUUAUAAAAGCAGUUUUAAUAAGCCAGGGAACACCUAGGCAUAGCAUAUCAAACACAUUGGAUCCUACAAUGUUAGACAUAGCCAUGUCUCCUUUACCUGCAAAAGAAAAGCAUGUUGUUAAAAUGUGCAUAUAAUACUGUUUUAUUAAUAAUCUUCAUAAGAAAAAAACACUGGAUACUUUUUUGUUGUUGGUAGUUUUGGAAAAUUGUUAGAGCAAGUCUUAUUGAAUUUGUAUUUUUAAAUUUUUCUUGGGUUAGUAUUUAAGUUUAACAUUUAUUUAAUAAUGAUUAUCUUUAUUUAUUAAACCAUUUUCAAUAAGAAAAAAAGGAAAAUUUAGAAGAAUUUGAGUAAAAAAGUAAAACUCAAUACACUCUUUGAGAAAAUGGAUGUUUAUUGUCUUCAUAUGAAUCCAAAGAAUCUACAGAAAAAAAACUUUUAUAAUUAUUAAGACAGCUUGAAAAGUAUCUGGCUAUAAGAUCAACAUACUAAAUUUGACGUUUUUAUCUGUCAAUUAAUGUUUAACAUGCUAAUUACCUUAAAUUAAUAAAUUCAGUUCUAAUCCAAUGAGAGUUAUUUGGAAAACCUGUGUUGUUUUGUUCUUAUUGUUACAUUGAUAACUUUAUGAAAAACUGAAUAGAACAUAAUUUUAAAGGUUCCAUAUCCAUCAUCUUGCUCCCCACUUCCAUCUUCACUGGGAAAUUCUGCAAAAUUUUUUUCUGGGUCUGCUGUUUUUGGCUUCUACUAUUAACCACAUCUUUAUUUCCAAAUCUGGUAUUGCAACUUUUUGAUUAUUUUAGAAUUAGCCUCAAGAGAAUGAUGUCUCCUAUUGAUCCAUUGCCAAAGCUGUCACUUUUGUCAAUUUUCUGAUAGUCUUUUCCUGGAUAGAUUUUGAUCCUCCAGUUAUAAGUUGCUUAUAUAUCCUUCAGAGUACUCAUUACAUGUCUGUAUUUAUUUCAUCACAUUUUGAAUAAAAGUUCUGCUCAAUUUGGCAUCUUCUGCUCAUUCCUCCUAGUGACUAUAUUCUUUCUUUUUUUCUGACAAAAUCUUGAUUUUACUCAAAAUUCGGACAUCUUAUAUCUGUACUUGCUCCAAACUUCAUUUAAUAGAAUCAGGAAAGUUUUGGAAGAACAUUAAAUAGGGUCUGUCAGAAUUAUGUAAAAAAUAAUUUUAUACAAAAUUGUGAUGUAGUUCAAAACCUACUCAUGUCUAAAAAUAUUACUAACAAAAAGUUG
rnacentral:lncRNA from 1 species